AUUUUGAGACGGACUUACGAUUUGUUGCAACCAUAAUUAAGUUUUAUUACAAGCCACGGUGAAAAAAAACCCCACAGAAAAUGCAGAAAUCUACAAGCACUAAAACUUCGACAAGCACGAAGAAUGGGAAGACGGUGAAAACAACAGUGAAAGAGGAAACCACCAUCUACCCUGACGGACGGAAGGAAGUCAAGACGACGACAACGAUCGACGACGGCGGGAACAUCUCAGAGGAAGUUAGUACCUCUGUUAGCCAGGGCCAGCCAUCGCCAUCUGGUGGGUCCGGAACAUCAGUGGCCUCCAAGCCUGCCAAUGGCUCGCAAGGGAACCAGACUUUGGAUGAAUGCAACCAAGAUGCCCUGAAAGCUCACAAUGAACUGAGGGCUAAACAUGGAGUACCCCCGGUCACACUGGCAAAGGAUCUUCAAGAAUACGCUCAAAAAUGGGCCGAACAUAUGGCUGGUAAGAACGAUUUUAAUCACAGUAAUUGCAAGCUGAACGGACAGAGCAUCGGGGAGAACAUCGCCUACACUGGAUCCUCACGACCCACGGAUUAUGCAGGUAAUCAGUCCGCCCUGGUCUGUGUCGCCGUGUCUGUACACACAUGGUCCGCACAUUUGAAAAAGAACUCUAAAUAUUUGAGUUGGUAAUUCAGUUUAUUAUUAGUUAAGCAUGACACGAACAUUGUUUUUUUUUAAGUUACCGAUGUAUCGAUUUUUAAAACUACAUGUAUAUUUUACAGUGGUGUACUUCUUUAAGUUUAACUAAUCAUAGAUCCUUUUUUAAUCCGGGUUAAAAUGCCAGUUAUAAGAGGCCAUUUCGAUACUCUGUCACAUGUAAACAUAAGGGUUUAGUCCCAAGGUGCCGCGUUAAAUGAUAAAAUAAAUGUCCAUUUAACCGGACAAUCUGUUUGUAUUUUAAUUAUAAGAAUGGCAAUGACUUAAAUAAACUUAACGAGUUGGUCCAAAUCAAACCUUUUAUACGACAAUGGUUAAACGGCAGCUAUUUCAUUUUUUAAAAUUGCAGGUAGCUUUCUUCCAAGUAAUCAAUAUUCUUCCCAAAAUAAUAUAUAUUCACAUAAAUAGAAUUUUAGGAAUGACCAACAAGCAGAAAUAAGCAGUGUGUUAAGGGAACCGUAAAUUGGCACUAGUUCAGCAGACACCCAUUGGUAGGUUUGUCUGCUCUUCAAGCUACAGUAACUGCGACGUUGGGGAUUUUCACUGACACUCUAUACGCCUGUGAGAAUCGUUGUAAGACAAUUAUCCAUAUCAUGUAUCUUGCAGAAUAAAAUUGCUCACUAUAGUCUGAAUAAUGCAGGGUUUAAGUUUCAUUGUUCUUUUAUGAUGACUACGAAGUCAUAAGAUACAUCAUAUCUAUACUGAAAAGUGAUAUAGCGAACAUUAAACUAUAAUAAAUGAAUGAUGUCACUUUACCUCAGAGAUUACUUACAUAUUCUGGAUGAAAACAAAAUAUAAGAAUGUAAAUUACCUGCUUCAUUUUUCUCUCCAAUAGUUACAUUAUUUGGAAAAACGCAUUUCAAUUUUUUAACAAGGUAAAAACUAAAAUAUCCCCAAGUUCUUCCGUAAUGUGAAUUACAAAAUAAAAAAAAGAUAUAAAACGUUUUUUAAACCAUUCUCUCAUUGAUUUUGGUUUAGAUUGCCAACCUGUUUUCUCUUGUAACUUGGACAGAUGAUACUCUCCGAUCUGUAGAUUUCACAAUUCAGUGUCGUUGUUGACAAGUUAUAACAUUUAUUAUAAACAUAACGCUCCGCGUUUAUAACCAUUGCUUUCUUUUCUUCUUAAAGGAAAAGAUUUCACUCAGUCAUGGUACAGCGAAAUAAAAGACCACAAAUUUGAUAAAGACAGCCAAAGUGUGACAGGCCACUUUACUCAAGUUGUCUGGAAAGGAACGACGGAGGUGGGCUUUGGCAAGGCCAAGUCAGUGGAUGGCUGCAAAGUGUAUGUGUGCGGGAGUUACCGUCCCGCCGGAAAUAUGAGAGGAGAUUUCAAGAACAACGUUUUCCCACCAAAAUAAAUCUGCACCGGAAGUCGAUUAUUUGCCAUAAUAGUGGUUUUUACGACGCUUGAAUUUUAUAGUUUUAUAUUAUCACUUUUGAGAAUUCUAUACAUUCCUUUAUGUUUAUUUUAUAAUAUUUUAUUUCAUUUAUAUUUAAUAAUGACUUUUAUUAACAUGACAAGCAAUAAAUGUUUUAUAGAUUAUUUCG
rnacentral:misc_RNA from 1 species